rnacentral:rRNA from 1 species
UACGGAGGGGGCUAGCGUUGUUCGGAAUUACUGGGCGUAAAGCGCACGUAGGCGGCUUUGUAAGUUAGAGGUGAAAGCCCAGGGCUCAACCCUGGAAUUGCCUUUAAGACUGCAUCGCUUGAACAUCGGAGAGGUAAGUGGAAUUCCGAGUGUAGAGGUGAAAUUCGUAGAUAUUCGGAAGAACACCAGUGGCGAAGGCGACUUACUGGACACAUAUUGACGCUGAGGUGCGAAAGCGUGGGGAGCAAACAGG